UGACAGGAUCUGUGGUGGGCGUGGUAA
rnacentral:piRNA from 1 species